rnacentral:rRNA from 1 species
UACGAGAGGCCCAACCGUUAUUCGGAAUCACUGGGCUUAAAGAGUUCGUAGGCGGCGCAGAAAGUAGGGUGUGAAAGCCCUCGGCUCAACCGAGGAAUUGCGCUCUAAACUACUGCGCUCGAGGAACCUAGAGGUGAGCAGAACUGAUGGUGGAGCGGUGAAAUGCGUUGAUAUCAUCAGGAAUACCGGAGGCGAAGGCGGCUCACUGGGGGUUUUCUGACGCUGAGGAACGAAAGCCAGGGGAGCGAACGGG